GGGGAAUAUUGGACAAUGGGGGCAACCCUGAUCCAGCAAUGCCGCGUGUGUGAAGAAGGUCUUCGGAUUGUAAAGCACUUUCGACGGGGACGAUGAUGACGGUACCCGUAGAAGAAGCCCCGGCUAACUUCGUGCCAGCAGCCGCGGUAAUACGAAGGGGGCUAGCGUUGCUCGGAAUGACUGGGCGUAAAGGGCGUGUAGGCGGUUUACACAGUCAGAUGUGAAAUCCCCGGGCUUAACCUGGGAGCUGCAUUUGAUACGUGUAGACUAGAGUGUGAGAGAGGGUUGUGGAAUUCCCAGUGUAGAGGUGAAAUUCGUAGAUAUUGGGAAGAACACCGGUGGCGAAGGCGGCAACCUGGCUCAUGACUGACGCUGAGGCGCGAAAGCGUGGGGAGCAAACAGGAUUAGAUACCCUGGUAGUCCA
rnacentral:rRNA from 1 species